rnacentral:rRNA from 1 species
UACGUAGGGUGCGAGCGUUAAUCGGAAUUACUGGGCGUAAAGCGUGCGCAGGCGGUCUCGUAAGCUGGGUGUGAAAGCCCCGGGCUUAACCUGGGAAUGGCAUUCAGGACUGCGAGGCUCGAGUGUGGCAGAGGGAGGUGGAAUUCCACGUGUAGCAGUGAAACGCGUAGAGAUGUGGAGGAACACCGAUGGCGAAGGCAGCCUCCUGGGCCAGCACUGACGCUCAUGCACGAAAGCGUGGGGAGCAAACAGG